GCCCGGCGAGUGACCCGCUGGACAGAUGCCCUCGGGCUUGCUGACCCGCUUUGUCCGCUGAGCGGCCGUCACACAAGAGCCGCUCCUCCGGUGACCACAGGAGAGCCCCGCUAUGACCUUCCUCACCUGGCGGGCUUCCUGUCCAGCUGGUUGCCCCGGAUGCCAUCGGAGAGGCACAGCAAGACAGAAAGUAUCAGGUACACACUCAUUACAACCGACCGUCUCAGCUGUGCAGGGAAAGCACAAUGCACGGAAAAGACUGCAGUUUGCUAAAUGUUAACGAUACUUCAGGCCUCUUUGGAAAAUGACCGCUCGGCCUCUCAGUACCGCCUGGUCCCGGGUCUGGAAACACCUGGGUCCUGCCCGGCUGGAAAGACGGGGCGUGACCCCCUGGAUCUCUGUCCUCGGCCGCGAGAAGGUGACCCACCGCUGGAAAUUCCCACGGCAAGUGUCGGUGUUGAUAAGAGUCCCUGAGAAAGUGGUGGCCAGGGGGCUGUGUGCCGAGCCCUCGAGGCCUUUCCCCUCGGGCUCUCCUUCUUCUGUCCUCUGUCCUCUGCCGCGGCCUCCCUUCCCUCCACCUGUCCCCUCUGUGCAGCCGGCCCCUCGGCCUUCGAGCCGCUGGCGGGCCCUCCCAGGGCUGCUCUGUCCCCCAGCUCUGCACACCUCUCUCCUCCCUCCUCCUCGUCGCCUGCCUGGCUCUGGGUCACCCCCUUACUUGGUUCCAAAGAGCGAGCCCCAACCUGCCCAUGAGGGUGCUCGGAGGGGGCGGAGCCGUGGGCGCGUCUCUUCAAGGAGCCUGAAUCCGUGACGUGAAAGUGUGAAGGGCUCUUCCACUCUGGCUCCCCGCUCCUGCGUGAGCGGACACAUCUCCAGACAGGGAGGCGUCAGGUUUCCUGCAGGAAACUAAAGACCCGGGCACCGCGCAGCGGCGCCCAUCACCUGCGCGGCCCGCUGGCCUUCGCCAGAGGCUUUGCUUCCCGGGUGCGUGGAGGCCACAUCUUUAAUAGGAUCCCUUCCCCAGAUCUCUCUAAGGAAGGUGGACGCGUGUCUUCUAGAUAAGUGAGCUCACAGUAAGGCUGGCGGUUCUCAUUUCGGUGCGAGCCAGCGUCUCACCCCUUCUUAUCUGAGUCACAAGGACACUGGGCCGGCACCGUCCUCGCCGUCUACACUGGGGAGCUGUCCUGGUGGGGGAGAAUCCUUAUGACUUUGAAGGGUGGUGAUGGGAUGCCUGGAGGCACUGCAGCCAUCUUGUGAUCAUGAGGAAGUAGCCAACAUGCUGAAGACAGUAGGGCAGAGAGUCAGAAACAACCUCUGUUCAUGGGGACACAUGCCACCAGAUUAAUGGCCCCUAGAACGAUUUUACCUCUCCAGUCCUCAAUG